rnacentral:rRNA from 1 species
GACGAACGCUAGCGGCGUGCCUAACACAUGCAAGUCGAACGGUAGCACAGAGAGCUUGCUCUCGGGUGACGAGUGGCGGACGGGUGAGUAACGUCUGGGAAACUGCCCGAUGGAGAGGGAUAACUACUGGAAACGGUAGCUAAUACCGCAUAACGUCGCAAGACCAAAGUGGGGGACCUUCGGGCCUCACACCCUCGGAUGUGCCCAGACGGGAUUAGCUAGUAGGUGGGGUAAUGGCUCACCUAGGCGACGAUCCCUAGCUGGUCUGAGAGGAUGACCAGCCACACUGGAACUGAGACACGGUCCAGACUCCUACGGGAGGCAGCAGUGAGGAAUAUUGCACAAUGGGCGCAAGCCUGAUGCAGCCAUGCCGCGUGUAUGAAGAAGGCCUUCGGGUUGUAAAGUACUUUCAGCGGGGAGGAAGGCGGUGGAGUUAAUAACUUCACCGAUUGACGUUACCCGCAGAAGAAGCACCGGCUAACUCCGUGCCAGCAGCCGCCGUAA